rnacentral:rRNA from 1 species
UACGGAGGGGGCAAGCGUUGUUCGGAAUUACUGGGCGUAAAGGGCUCGUAGGCGGCCAACUAAGUCGGACGUGAAAUCCCUCGGCUCAACCGAGGAACUGCGUCCGAUACUGGCAGGCUGGAAUCCGGGAGAGGGAUGUGGAAUUCCAGGUGUAGCGGUGAAAUGCGUAGAUAUCUGGAGGAACACCGGUGGCGAAGGCGGCAUCCUGGACCGGUAUUGACGCUGAGGCGCGAAAGCUAGGGGAGCAAACGGG